ACAACAACAAUAAAAAGCUUCAAAAAGAAUAUUUCGACUCUGAAAAAACAAAAACAACAGCCCAGAGAAGAAGCAAACCGAUUUUUUUGGAGAGGGUGUGCCGUUCCGCACCCGGCAACUAGAGCAACAGAACAAUAAAACUACCUUGAGGUAGCGGCGCUCCGGUUGGUUCAGAAAUGACGAUGGCAUGAUCAGCGUCCAAAAAAAUCCGUUUGCCCUAGGUCCAUGUUGGGACUAGCCAAUUCUGACUCGUUGGAGUCAGUAGCGAAGAACAACAACGAACACGAUAAAAACAACAACAAUAAAAGAAAAACAUUUGAGGGGAGCCCAGGCUCCCCUCAGUGCUUUCCGGCUUCCGCAAAAUCAUUCCCCA
rnacentral:sRNA from 1 species